GACGAACGCUGGCGGCGUGCUUAACACAUGCAAGUCGAGCGGUAAGGCCCUUUCGGGGGUACACGAGCGGCGAACGGGUGAGUAACACGUGGGUGACCUGCCCUCAGCUCUGGGAUAAGCCUGGGAAACCGGGUCUAAUACCGGAUAUGACUCCAUGACGCAUGUUGUGGGGUGGAAAGCCUUGUGCGGCUGAGGAUGGGCCCGCGGCCUAUCAGCUUGUUGGUGGGGGAUGGCCUACCAAGGCGACGACGGGUAGCCGGCCUGAGAGGGCGACCGGCCACACUGGGACUGAGACACGGCCCAGA
rnacentral:rRNA from 1 species